rnacentral:lncRNA from 1 species
UUGCUUGAUUUAGCAAUCUCGGUAAUGGUCUUUAACAAAUUCUUUAUUUAUUUUCCUAAACAGAAAAAAGAGGAAAAAAAUGAAAAGAAACUGCAAAGAGAUUAAUUCCAUCACGAUACCUCAUUUUCCUCAGCAGAAUGAGAACUGCAGAAUUAGCACAGAUUUCUGCUACUUGAGCUAAUGAAGUGCCACUACCAGUCAUGGGUUGUCAUCCUCUGAGUAAAGCACUCCCAGAAGAGGAUCACUGAUGGGCAAUGGGUAUUUUCCACGUUUAAAAGGUUUCUCUGUAUGACUGCAAAUAAGAAAAAUUAUGGAAGCAUCUUAUUCUGCAAUUACCCCACAUUCUCUGAUCAACAUGGCUUACUCUUCCCUCUUGCUGUAUUCUCUUGUGUGCAGAUUUUGAACAGAAGUGAAAAUGAAUGUAUUUUUGGUCCUGGGCUGUUCUUAGUAAUUUAAUGUGAUCUGUCGUCAACAAGAGGGAAAACAAAUUUCUGACACUCAAUAAGAAUAAGAAGAGAACAAAAUGUACCUUACUGUGGGUAAGAUCUGUGGGCAAAAAAUGGCACAGCCUGUGAAGGUGUUUACUGAAAAACAGGGGAAGUGACAGUAGGAAUACCAGUAAUGAGAUAAAGACCAUUUUCCUUUGCAGUCUGCAGAGGUUUGGGGAUUAGUCUUUUUUUAGUUUUUGGUUUUGUAAUAAUGCUUCAGACAAUUGUGAAGUUGGAGUAAAAAUUCUGGUCAUUUGGUAAAUGUCUUUAAGAAUUUUUUGGGAAAAAAAGACCCCAAAUAAUUUAUGUUGCGGUAUAAUGUUUAUUUAACAAGGUAAUAAAUGAAAGAACAAAAUCCA